GGCUGGUCCAAAAGUAGUGAGUUAUCUCAGUUUAUUGUUUAUAACCAGUUACAGAUUGAACUCCUGUUCUUUCCCGUUUUCUCACUACUGCACUUGACUAAUCUAAA
rnacentral:Y_RNA from 1 species